rnacentral:rRNA from 1 species
AUACGGAGGAUGCAAGCGUUAUCCGGAUUUAUUGGGUUUAAAGGGUGCGUAGGCGGAUGAUUAAGCGUGAGGUGAAAUGCCACUGCUCAACAGUGGAACUGCCUCGCGAACUGGUUGUCUUGAAUGCUCCUGCCGUGGGAGGAAUGUGUGGUGUAGCGGUGAAAUGCAUAGAGAUCACACAGAACACCGAUUGCGAAGGCAUAUCACGAAGGGGUGAUUGACGCUGAGGCACGAAAGCGUGGGGAUCAAACAGGAUUAGAUACCCUGGUAGUCCACGCAGUAAACGAUGAUAACUAACCGCUGGGUCGUAGUGAUUCAGUGGCCAAGCGAAAGCGAUAAGUUAUCCACCUGGGGAGUACGACCGCAAGGUUGAAACUCAAAUGAAUUGACGGGG